rnacentral:rRNA from 1 species
GGAGGGUGCAAGCGUUAAUCGGAAUUACUGGGCGUAAAGCGUGCGUAGGUGGUUUGUUAAGUUAUAUGUGAAAUCCCUGGGCUCAACCUGGGCAGGUCAUAUAAUACUGAUGGACUCGAGUAUGGGAGAGGGUAGUGGAAUUUCCGGUGUAGCGGUGAAAUGCGUAGAGAUCGGAGGGAACACCAGUGGCGAAGGCGGCUACCUGGCCUAAUACUGACACUGAGGCACGAAAGCGUGGGGAGCAAACAGGAUUAGAUACCCUGGUAGUCCACGCCGUAAACGAUGUCAACUAGCUGUUGGUUAUAUGAAUAUAAUUAGUGGCGAAGCUAACGCGAUAAGUUGACCGCCUGGGGAGUACGGUCGCAAGAUUA